rnacentral:rRNA from 1 species
UACGGUGAAGCCGCGAAUAGCUCAUUACAACAGCCAUCGUUUAUUAGAAUAUCGUUAUCCUACUUGGAUAACUGUGGCAAUUCUAGAGCUAAUACAUGCAAUAAAGCUCUGCCCGCAAGGAACGAGCGCAUUUAUUAGAAUAAAAACCAAUCGGGUUUCGGCUCGUAAUUUGGUGAAUCUGAAUAACUUUGCCAAUCGCACAGUCCUAGUACUGGCGAUGUAUCUUUCAAGUGUCUGCCUUAUCAACUUUCGAUGGUACGCUAUACGCCUACCAUGGUAGUAACGGGUAACGGAGAAUAAGGGUUCGACUCCGGAGAGGGAGCCUGAGAAACGGCUACCACAUCCAAGGAAGGCAGCAGGCGCGCAAAUUACCCACUUCCAGAACGGAGAGGUAGUGACGAAAAAUAACGAGACAGUCCUCUUCGAGGUCUGUCAUCGGAAUGGGUACAAUUUAAA